CUUCUUUUUCUUUUUUUUUCCCUUUUUCUUUGGAAGAGUGAGAGGAAGGGAUGCCAGCUGAUUGUGGACGGGAAGAGCUUGAUAAAAAACGGAGGAUGUCUGGGUCUUCUUCAAAAGAGCUGUCUUCCAAAGAAGAAGAGUCGAAGCAGAGCACUUCUUG
rnacentral:ribozyme from 13 species